rnacentral:ncRNA from 1 species
CACCGAGCGAGGCGGGUUGGUGACGCUUCGCGAGAGGGAACCCGGUGAGAACCCGGGACUGUCCCGCAGCGGUAUGCAGGAACGACCGCCGUCACACAAGCACUGGUCGCAAGACUGGGAAGCGACGGUCAGUAGGAGCACCAGCGGGUGCGCGCCUGCGAGUCCGAAGACCUGCCAGCUGUGCCGGGCGCGC